UUAUUUAUGUUUGAUGGACAGCUAAGCAAGCGUAUUGCGAAUGCCGUACUCUGCUUCUGAUUGGUUGUAACAACGUCAUCUCCGGUGAGUCACAAUUUUGA